rnacentral:rRNA from 1 species
ACUCUCGGCAACGGAUAUCUUGGCUCUCGCAUCGAUGAAGAACGUAGCAAAAUGCGAUAGCUGGUGUGAAUUGCAGAAUCCCGUGAACCAUCGAGUCUUUGAACGCAAGUUGCGCCUGAAGCCGUCAGGCCGAGGGCACGCCUGCCUGGGUGUCA